rnacentral:lncRNA from 1 species
CAAGGUAGAAGAUAUUGGUUACAUUGUUUAGUGGUUCUUGCAUGCAUGCAUGUUUAGCUUUCAAAAGCCAUAUUACUUUGUCUUCUCCUUUGUGUUUGCCUGCAGAUUCAGCUUAGUCCAAUGCACGAGCACUCUUAUUAUUGUUCACAUCGUUCGAUCGUGCAAGUGAAAGACAAUAAUGAUGAUAUAUGAUGAAGUGACUGAGACUGAAAAGCUGGUAUGAACUCUAUCUAUUUUGUUUUUGUAAAUAUGAC